rnacentral:rRNA from 1 species
ACGUAGGGAGCAAGCGUUGUCCGGAAUUACUGGGCGUAAAGGGCGCGUAGGCGGACGGAUAAGUCAGAUGUGAAAUCUCCGGGCUCAACCUGGAGCGUGCAUUUGAAACUGUCUGUCUUGAGGGCAGGAGAGGAAAGUGGAAUUCCUAGUGUAGCGGUGAAAUGCGUAGAUAUUAGGAGGAACACCAGUGGCGAAGGCGACUUUCUGGACUGAACCUGACGCUGAGGCGCGAAAGCAUGGGGAGCGAACGG